UACAGAUGGUGCCCAUCCUCUACCCUGCCCAUGUGCCUGGGUGAACCUCACUCGGCAUUCAAGACUCCUUUAGAGAUCUCCUUUCAUGGGAAGCCUUUCCCAGAGGCCUGGAUACAACUGCACCCAGCAGGUGAGAUCCCAGCACUGCACUGUAUUCCAGAGCAGAACGUAAGUCCCUUCCAUGCAGCCUCAUGGGGGCAGGGACCUUGGCUGUUCUGCUCCCUGUCCAAGUGCCCAGGACAGUGUCCAGCUCAUAGGAAUGCUGCAUAAAUGCUUGUUAAAUGCUAGAACUUUAUGGGACAGAGGCUGCCAACCAGRUGAACUGGCAAGUCACCCUGGAGCCAAUAUUCUCAGCUAAGGAAGAGACUCCUGAGAACCCCUCUUGCUAUGCACAGGAUCGAACCCAGAUGGAACGCAGUGCCACGUGCGCAAGGCACUGUUUCACCAGCCGUGAAACAACCACAACCCCAGCCCCUCAUCAGCAAAUUCUCAUGGUCCUCCUCCAGCACAUUUUGGAUUCAACCACAGGACUCAAAGAGACACUUGCACACCAAUGUUCAUGGCAGCGUCAUCCUUCAGAACAAAAAGGUGGAGACAACCCAGGUGUCCAUCGACAGAUGAGUGGAUGAACAAAACAUGAUCUGUUUAUAUAG